CCUACGGGUGGCAGCAGUGAGGAAUAUUGGGCAAUGGGCGCGAGCCUGAACCAGCCAAGUCGCGUGAGGGAAGACGGUCCUAUGGAUUGUAAACCUCUUUUGUCGGGGAGCAAAAGACGCCACGCGUGGCGUUCCGAGAGUACCCGAAGAAAAAGCAUCGGCUAACUCCGUGCCAGCAGCCGCGGUAAUACGGAGGGUCUGGGCGUUAUCCGGAUUUAUUGGGUUUAAAGGGAGCGUAGGCCGCAUGUCAAGCGUGCUGUGAAAUGUCCGGGCUCAACCCGGGCCUUGCAGCGCGAACUGGCGAGCUUGAGUGCGCGGGAGGUAGGCGGAAUUCGUGGUGUAGCGGUGAAAUGCUUAGAUAUGACGAAGAACCCCGAUUGCGAAGGCGGCUUGCUGCAGCGUAACUGACGCUGAUGCUCGAAAGCGCGGGUAUCGAACAGGAUUAGAUACCCCUGUAGUC
rnacentral:rRNA from 1 species